CUGAUGGCGACCGGCGUACGGGUGAGUAACGCGUAUCCAACCUGCCCUUUACUAUGGGACAGCCCGUCGAAAGGCGGAUUAAUACCGUAUGUUGUCAUGUUGAUGCAUAUUUUCAUGACCAAAGGCUUCGGCCGGUAAAGGAUGGGGAUGCGUCUGAUUAGCUUGCCGGCGGGGUAACGGCCCACCGGGGCGACGAUCAGUAGGGGUUCUGAGAGGAAGGUCCCCACAUUGGAACUGAGACACGGUCCAAACUCCUACGGAAGGCAGCAG
rnacentral:rRNA from 1 species